rnacentral:rRNA from 1 species
UACAGAGGUGGCAAGCGUUGUUCGGAAUUACUGGGCGUAAAGGGCGCGUAGGCGGCCAUCUAAGUCAGACGUGAAAUCCCCCGGCUUAACCUGGGAACUGCGUCUGAUACUGGACGGCUUGAGUAUGGGAGAGGGAUGUAGAAUUCCAGGUGUAGCGGUGAAAUGCGUAGAUAUCUGGAGGAAUACCGGUGGCGAAGGCGGCAUCCUGGACCAUUACUGACGCUGAUGCGCGAAAGCUAGGGGAGCAAACGGGG